GAGAGGCGCUGACAGACAGGCAAAAAAGGUUCUGUAACUGAUUCCUUGUGCACGCUGGAUAAAUUCCGCGAGGGAAGUGUGUGGGAGGAAGCUGGUGAAGAGGAGAGGAGCAAGGAGCAACGCUGCCAGACGAGGAAAGAAGUGCGUGGAAGUCUGGUGAAGGGAACGGAAGGACGGCACCGGAGAGGAAGGUUGUGGAAGUGCGCCACCUCCUGCUCUCUCUCCACGUUUUGUAAGAUCUUGUUUUAGAUCUGCCGCUAGAGGACAGCCUCAGAUGCAAACAAUAAGCAGUCACCAGUUGAGCGCCACGUUUGUAUCACACCACCACCACCACCACCACCACAACAAGGACACACCCGGCCCCGCUGCAGCCACCCUCAGAGAACAAGAAAACCUAACUGGUCUCUAGAUCGUUCACGUUCUCUUGCUGGUACGAAGUGUUUGCGAUGAUAAUUUUUCAGCGGGUCACGGCUGAGCUGCGAGUAUAUGACAGCUUCGUAAAUCCCCACGCUGUGAUGGAGUGCGUGGCCGGAUCCAUUGCUGGCCAUGAAUAAAAAGGAGCCUAAUCUAUGACUGUAUAUUUUGUAUAGCGAGUGAAAAGCAACAUAUAUAUCUUCCCCCCCCUGUCUUUUUCAUCCUCCUGACCCCCUCUACCAAUAAAAAUGAAUAAAAAAAUCUAGCAGUACCAAACCUAUAUUGAAAAAGUCAUAAAAAAGCAACGUGCGGUCGUGAAUUUGGGUCUUUCCACUGCAUAGUCAAGAGUAGAAAAAUGUUCCCCUUUGCCAUAAACGUAUAAAGAAAAUACCUAUUCCUUUCGCUAUAACUAUAUAAAGAAACCAUCUUUCAAUACACGGGUUUGGCGGAGCGCUGGGAGAACAGAGUUAGAGGGAGAGAGACCACAAAAAAACCCAUGAAAAAACAAGUGUUGCAGCAAUUCAAUGUACGGCAAUCAAGGUAAAAUCAUCCAAUUUAUCUCAGCCAUUGAGCGGCAUUCAUGGCGCAGCGUAUGGACGGCUGAACGAAAGGCGGGGGGCGAGAUGGGGUUCGUGAGCCCGCUGUGGUCACUGUCCAGUCACCCCUGCGUGCAAAAUGAUGGGUACACGCGAGAGUUAGUUGUUAUUACUAAUGCCACUAAUAUUCCACUACCGUUGCCCUUUUAUGAUUUGACCUCCAGUUUUUUUUUUUAAUCUCCUAACAGUUUUAUAUAAUAUAUUUGUUAUUCAUGGUAGUAACGUUCCCAAGUAUUGUUUUUUGAUCAUUGCUUUCACAUUGUCAUUUUUUUCCUUGAUCCUUCGCUUUCUCCUCGCCACCUGAACGUGACGAGUCGAGUUUUUCAACGUGUCAUGACUCGGCCUGUUAAUAAAGGACGAUGAAUGAAUAGAUAAGACCAAAUAAGCUUUUCAGAAUUACUCUCUGUAGAUAUAUCUGACAUUUACACAUCACUGAG